rnacentral:tmRNA from 1 species
UGAUUGAUUAUGCAUAAACCAACAUGUUAUAAUUUAUUGGCUUUGCCUAUGAAGAUAAACGUUUAGUGCAAUAACCAUGUGGACCCGGGGGCGGUACCCGGCACCUCCACCAAUUAUGGGGGUGAAACAGGAUCGACGCGUGCUAAAAGCUAGGCCUUCUUUCGGUUAGACCACCGUAAAUGGACAAAAAAAAAUAAGUGCUAAUGUAACAAGAAGACGUCGUAACAUACGUGUCGCUAAUCGCAACACAAAUCGUCGUCGCGCACUCGCUGCUUAAUUUAGAAGCAAGCGCGGCUGGGAGGAGCCGGUCAACAGAAUCCUCCCACA